rnacentral:rRNA from 1 species
GACGUAGGGUGCGAGCGUUGUCCGGAUUUAUUGGGCGUAAAGAGCUCGUAGGCGGCUCGUCGCGUCGACCGUGAAAACCCGCGGCUUAACUGCGGGCUUGCGGUUGAUACGGGCGGGCUAGAGUUCGGUAGGGGAGACUGGAAUUCCUGGUGUAGCGGUGAAAUGCGCAGAUAUCAGGAGGAACACCAGUGGCGAAGGCGGUGCUCUGGGCCGGAACUGACGCUGAGGAGCGAAAGCGUGGGGAGCAAACAGG